AUUGAACGCUGGCGGCAUGCUUUACACAUGCAAGUCGAACGGUAACAGGGUGCUUGCACCGCUGACGAGUGGCGAACGGGUGAGUAAUGCGUCGGAACGUGCCGAGUAGUGGGGGAUAACGCAUCGAAAGGUGUGCUAAUACCGCAUACGUACUGAGGUAGAAAGUGGGGGACCUUCGGGCCUCACGCUAUUCGAGCGGCCGACGUCUGAUUAGCUAGUUGGUGAGGGAAAGGCUCACCAAGGCGACGAUCAGUAGCGGGUCUGAGAGGAUGGACCGCCACUCUGGGACUGAAACACGGCCCAGACUCCGACGGGAGGCACAAGUGGGGAAUUUUGGACAAUGGGCGCAAGCCUGAUCCAGCCAUGCCGCGUGUCUGAAGAAGGCCUUCGGGUUGUAAAGGACUUUUGUCCGGGAGCAAAUACCCAGUGCUAAUAACGCUGGGGGCUGAGAGUACCGGAAGAAUAAGCACCGGCUAACUACGCGCCAGCCGCCGCGGUAACAC
rnacentral:rRNA from 1 species